AGGGGGAUUAGCUGGGUAGCAAUACUCGGUUAUGAGACCGGCAAACGGGUGCGGAACACGUACGCAACCUUCCCAAAACUGGUGAAUAGCCCUCCGAAAGGAGGAUUAAUACACCGUAACAUAAUGAAGUGGCAUCAUUUUAUUAUUAUAGCUCCGGCGGUUUUGGAUGGGCGUGCGCCUGAUUAGGUAGUUGGCGGGGUAACGGCCCACCAAGCCUGCGAUCAGUAACUGGUGUGAGAGCACGACCAGUCACACGGGCACUGAGACACGGGCCCGACUCCUACGGGAGGCAGCAGUAAGGAAUAUUGGUCAAUGGACGCAAGUCUGAACCAGCCAUGCCGCGUGAAGGAUGACGGCCCUCUGGGUUGUAAACUUCUUUUAUCUGGGACGAAAAAAGGUCAUUCUUGAUCACUUGACGGUACCAGAGGAAUAAGCACCGGCUAACUCCGUGCCAGCAGCCGCGGUAAUACGGAGGGUGCAAGCGUUAUCCGGAUUUACUGGGUUUAAAGGGUGCGUAGGUGGGUCUGUAAGUCAGUGGUGAAAUCUCCGAGCUUAACUCGGAAACUGCCAUUGAUACUAUAGGUCUUGAAUUAUCUGGAGGUAAGCGGAAUAUGUCAUGUAGCGGUGAAAUGCUUAGAUAUGACAUAGAACACCAAUUGCGAAGGCAGCUUACUACGGAUCGAUUGACACUGAGGCACGAAAGCGUGGGGAUCAAACAGGAUUAGAUACCCUGGUAGUCCACGCCCUAAACGAUGGAUACUCGA
rnacentral:rRNA from 1 species